UACAGAGGUCUCAAGCGUUGUUCGGAUUCAUUGGGCGUAAAGGGUGCGUAGGUGGCGAGGUUAGUCAGGUGUGAAAUCUCGGGGCUCAACCCCGAAACUGCACUUGAUACUGCCUUGCUAGAGUACUGGAGAGGAGAUUGGAAUUUACGGUGUAGCAGUGAAAUGCGUAGAUAUCGUAAGGAAGACCAGUGGCGAAGGCGAAUCUCUGGACAAAACCUGACACUGAGGCACGAAAGCUAGGGGAGCAAACAGG
rnacentral:rRNA from 1 species